rnacentral:rRNA from 1 species
AGUGAACGCUGGCGGUAGGCCUAACACAUGCAAGUCGAACGGCAGCACAGUAAGAGCUUGCUCUUACGGGUGGCGAGUGGCGGACGGGUGAGGAAUACAUCGGAAUCUACUUUUUCGUGGGGGAUAACGUAGGGAAACUUACGCUAAUACCGCAUACGACCUACGGGUGAAAGCAGGGGAUCUUCGGACCUUGCGCGAGUGAAUGAGCCGAUGUCGGAUUAGCUAGUUGGCGGGGUAAAGGCCCACCAAGGCGACGAUCCGUAGCUGGUCUGAGAGGAUGAUCAGCCACACUGGAACUGAGACACGAUCCAGACUCCUACGGGAGGUACCAGUGGGGAAUAUUGGACAAUGGGCGCAAGCCUGAUCCAGCCAUACCGCGUGGGUGAAGAAGGCCUUCGGGUUGUAAAGCCCUUUUGUUGGGAAAGAAAAGCAGCAGGUUAAUACCCCGCUGUUCUGACGGUACCCAAAGAAUAAGCACCGGCUAACUUCGUG